CCUGGCUCAGAUUGAACGCUGGCGGCAGGCCUAACACAUGCAAGUCGAACGGUAACAGGAAGCAGCUUGCUGCUUGCUGACGAGUGGCGGACGGGUGAGUAAUGUCUGGGAAACUGCCUGAUGAGGGGGGUAACUACUGGAAACGGUAGCUAAUACCGCAUAACGUCGCAAGACCAAAGAGGGGGACCUUCGGGCCUCUUGCCAUCAGAUGUGCCCAGAUGGGAUUAGCUUGUUGGUGGGGUAACGGCUCACCAAGGCGACGAUCCCUAGCUGGUCUGAGAGGAUGACCCAGCCACACUGGAACUGAGACACGGUCCAGACUCCUACGGGAGGCAGCAGUGGGGAAUAUUGCACAAUGGGCGCAAGCCUGAUGCAGCCAUGCCGCGUGUAUGAAGAAGGCCUUCGGGUUGUAAAGUACUUUCAGCGGGGAGGAAGGUGUUGUGGUUAAUAGCCACAGCAAUUGACGUUACCCGCAGAAGAAGCACCGGCUAACUCCGUGCCAGCCGCCGC
rnacentral:rRNA from 1 species